CGGAGGUGUUGCUAACAUUUACGAUAGCAAAUUUCAAUUUGCAAAAAAAUGAACGACUGCGUUUUGGUCUUUUGAGCUUCUAGUCAUGAAAUCUAUGCAGCCUACUCAAUCACUUUUUAUAGCUACUGGUUACAGGCCUCCUGGGCCAUAUACAGCGUUCCUCACUGAGUUCCCUGAAUUCCUAUCGGACCUUGUAGUCAUGGCAGAUAAUAUUCUAAGUUUUGGUGAUUUUAAUAUUCACAUGGAAAAGUCCACAGACCCACUCCAAAAGCCUUACUGAUCCAUCAUCAACUCAGUGGGUUUUGUCCAAUAUGUCUCCGGACCUACUCACUGCCACAGUCAAACUCUGCACCUAGUUUAUCCCGUGGAACAAAUGUUGUGUAUCUUAAUGUUUUUCCUCAUAAUCCUGGACUAUCGGACCACCAACAAAUAAUCUGCUCAGACCCCAACCAAGGAUCAUCAAAAGUUGUGCUAUAAAUUCUCGGACAACCCAAAGAUUCCUAGAUGCCCAUCCAGACUCCCUCCAUCUACCCAAGGAUGUCAGAGUACAAAAAUCAGUUAACCACCUAACUGAGGAACUCAAUUUAACCUUGCGUAAUACCCUAAAUGCAGUCGCACAAAAAAACAUUUGUCAUAAGAAACUAGCUCCCUGGUAUACAGAAAAUACCGGAGCACUGAAGCAAGAAAAUUGGAACGGAAAUGGCGCUACACCAAACUAGACGUCUUCCGCCUAGCUUGGAAAGACCGUACCGUGCAGUAUCGAAGAGCCCUCACUGCUGCUCAAUCAUCCUAUUUUUCUUAAUUGAGGAAAAUAAGAACAAUCCAAUAUUUAUAUUUUAUACUGUCGCAAAGCUAUCUAAAAAGCAACAUUCCCCAAAAGAGGAUGGCUUUCACUUCAGCAGUGAUACAUUUGAUGAAAAGAUCAUGAUCAUUAGAAAGCAAAUCUGCGUAUUCCUCCAAAGCUCAGUUGUCCUGAGUAUGCACACAACUGCAACUAGGAUCAACAACUAGGAUCAAGGGAGACACUCAGGUUUUUUAAUACUAAUAAUCAUGGCCUCUAAAUGUUUAAGCUGCAUGCUGGACCCUAUUCCAACUAAACUACUGAAAGAGCUGCUUCCUGUGCUUGGCCCUCCUAUGUUGAACAUAAUAAACGGAUCUCUAUCCACCGGAUGUGUACUGAACUCACUAAAAGUGGCAGUAAUAAAGCCUCUCUUGAAAAAGCCAAACCUUGACCCAGAAAAUAUAAAAUAACUAUCGGCCUAUAUCGAAUCUCCCAUUCCUCUCCAAAGAAAAUGUAAAAGUUGUUGCACAGCAACUCACUGCCUUCCUGAAGACAAACGAUGUAUACAAAACGCUUCAGUCUGGUUUUAGACCCCAUCAUAGCACUGAGACUGCACUUGUAAAGGUGGUAAAUGACCUUUUAAUGGUGUCAGACCGAGGCUCUGCACCUGUCCUCGUUCUCCUAGGCCUUAGUGCUGCUUUUGAUACCAUCGAUCACCACGUUCUUUUGGAGAGAUUGGAAACCCAAAUUGGUCUACAUGGACAAGUUCUGGCCUGGUUUAGAUUUUAUCUGUCGGAAAGAUAUCGGUUUGUCUCUGUAGAGGGUUUGUCCUCUGACAAAUCAACUGUAAAUGUCGGUGUUCCUGAAGGCUUCGAUUUAGGACCACUAUUGUUUUCACUAUUUAUUUUACCUCUUGGUGAUGUCAUUCGGAAACAAUGUUAACUUUCACUGCUAUGCGGAUGACACACAGCUGGACAUUUCGAUGAAACUUGGUGAAGCUCCAAAAUUGCCCUCCCUGGAAGCCUGUGUUUCAGACAUAAGGAAGUGGAUGGCUGCAAAUGUUUUACUUUUAAACUCAGACAAACAGAGAUGCUUGUUCUAGGUCACAAGAAACAGAGACAUCUUCUGCUGAAUCUGACAAUUAAUCUUGAUGGUUGUACAGUCGUCUCAAAUAAAACUGUGAAGGACCUCGUCGUUACUCUGGACCCUGAUCUCUCUUUUGACGAACAUAACAAAACUAUUUCAAGGACAGAUUUUUUCCAUCUUCGUAAAAUUGCAAAAAUCUGAAACUUUCUGUCCAAAAAUUAUGCUGAAUAAUUUAUCCAUACUUUUGUCACUUCUAGGUUAGCCUACUGCAAUGCUUUACCUUCCGGCUACCCGGAUAAAGCACUAAAUAAACUUCAGUUAGUGCUAAACACGGCUGCUAGAAUCUUGACUAGAACCAAAACAUGUGAUCAUAUUUCUCCAGUGCUAGCCUCUCUACACUGGCUUCCUGUUAAGGCUACACGGGCUUGCUCCUACCUAACUUUCCAAUUUGGUCCUGCCGUACAUACCUACACGUACACUACGGUCACAAGACGUAGGCCUCCUUACUGUCCAUAGAAUUUCUAAGCAAACAGCUGGAGGCAGGGCAUUCUCUUGUAGAGCUCAAUUUUUAUGGAAUGGUCUGCCUAUCCAUGUGAGAGACGCAGACUCGGCCUCAACCUUUAAGUCUUUAUUGAAGACUCAUCUCUUCAGUAGGUCCUGUGAUUGAGUGUAACCUGGCCCAGGGGUUUGAAGGUGAAUGGCACUGGAGCAACGAACCGCCCUUGCUGUCUCUGCCUGGCCGGUUCCCCUCACUCCACUGGGAUUCUCUGCCUCAAAGCCUAAUACGGGGCUGAGUCACAGGCAUUCUGGUGCUCUUCCAUGCCGUCUCUAGGAGGGGUGCAUCACUUGAGUGGGUUGAGUCACUGAUGUGAUCUACCUGUCUGGGUUGAUGCCGAACCUUGGGUUCGUGCCGUGGGGGAGAUCUUCGUGGGCCAUACUCGGCCUUGUCUCAGGACAGACCUGAGCCCUAGGACCAUGCCUCAGGACUACCUGUCCUGAUGAAUCCUUGCUGUCCCCAGUCCACCUGGUCGUGCUGCAGCUCCAGUUCAAACUGUUCUGCCUACGGCUAUGGAACGCUGACCUGUUCACCGGACGUGCUACCUUGUCCCAGACCUGCUGUUUUCAACUCUCUAGAGACAGCAGGAGCGGUAGAGAUACUCUGAAUGAUCGGCUAUGAAAAGCCAACUGACACUUACUCCUGAGGUGCUGACCUGUUGUACCCUCUACAACCACUGUGAUUAUUUUUAUUUGAACAUGCUGGUCAUCUAUGAACAUUUGGACAUCUUGGCCAUGUUAUGUUAUAAUCUCCACCCGGCACAGCCAGAAGAGGACUGGUCACCCCUCAUAGCCUGGUUCCUCUCUAGGUUUCUUCCUAGGGUUCUGGCCUUUCUAGGGAGUUUUUCUUAGCCACCGUGGUUCUACACCUGCAUUGCUUGCUUUUGGGGUUUUAGGCUGGGUUUUUGUACAGCACUUUGUGACAUCAGCUGACGUAAGAAGGGCUUUACAAAUAAAUCUGAUUGAAAGGGAAGCACAGCCGCGAGCUGCCCAGUGACACGAGCCUACCAGACGAGCUAAACUAUUUCUAUGCUCGCUGAAACAUGCAUGAGAGCACCAGCUGUUCCCGGAAGACUGUGUGAUCACGCUCUCCGCAGCCAAUGUGAGUAAGACCUUUUAAACAGGUCAACAUUCACAAGGCCGCAGGGCCAGACGGAUUACCAGGACGUGUCUUCGCUGAUAUUUUCAACCUCUCCCCUGUCCGAGUCUGUAAUACCAACAUGUAUUAAGAAGACCACGAUAGUGCCUGUGCCCAAGAACACUAAGGUAACCUACCUAAAUGACUACCAACCCGUAGCAUUCACGUCUGUAGCCAUGAAGUGCUUUGAAAGGCUGGUCAUGGCUCACAUCAACAUCAUUAUCCAAGAAACCCUAGACCUGCUCCAAUUUGCAAACCAACCCAACACAUCCACAGAUGAUGCAAUCUUUAUUGCACUACACACUGCCCUUUCCCACCUGGACAAGAGGAACACCUAUGUGAGAAUGCUAUUCAUUGACUACAGUUCAGCGUUCAAUACCAUAGUGCCCUCAAAGCUCAUCAAUAAGCUAAGGACACUGGGACAAAACACCUCCCUCUGCAACUGGAUCCUGGACUUCCUGACAGGCCGCCCCCAGGUGGUAAGGUUAGGUAGCAACACAUCUGCCACGCUGAUCCUCAACACAGGAGCCCCUCAGGGGUGCAUACUCAGCCCCUUCUGUACUCCCUGUUCACUCAUGACUGCACGGCCAGGCAUGACUCCAACACCAUCAUUAAGUUUGCACAGUGGUUGGCCUGAUCACCGACAACGACGAAACAGCCUAUAGGGAGGAGGUCAGAGACCUGGCUAUGUGGUGCCUAUCAUCCAGGACCUCUAUACCAGGCGGUGUCAGAGGAAGGCCCUAAAAAUUGUCAAAGACUCUAGUCGCCCUAGUCAUAGACUUUUCUCUCUGCUACCGCACGGCAAGCGGUACCGCACUUCCAAGUCUAGGUUCAAGAGGCUUCUAAACAGCUUCUACCCCCAAGCCAUAAGACUGCUGAAUAGUUAAUCAAAUGGCUACCCCGACUAUUUACAUUGCCCACUCCUCACACCCUCUCUUUUAACGCCCCUGCUACUCUCUGUCAUUAUAUAUGCAUCGUCACUUUAAUAACUCUACCUACAUGUACAUAUUACCUUAAUUCCCUUGACUAAUUUAGUCUCUUAGAGACUAUAUAGUCUCGCUAUUGUUAUUUUACUGCUGCUCUUUAAUUACUUGUUACUUUUCUUUGCUUAUUCUUAUCCGUAUUUUUUUUAUACUGCAUUGUUGGUUAGGGGAUGGUAAGUAAGCAUUUCACUAUAAGGUUUACACCUGCUGUAUUCGGCGCAUGUCACUAAUACAAUUUGAUUUGAUUUGAGGUCCCGUGUUGGACAUGCGUAAAAACCCCUCCAUGAUGUAGGCUAUGUGUUCAUUUCCAUCAUGAAACAAGAGAUGAGAACCUCUGGUGAAUACCAGUUAAAAGUGAUCUGUAAUCUGUAAAAAUGACUUGUUUUCCAUUUUAUAUGUUCAAAAUCCAAGCCCUCCCUUUGGCCUACUAUAAGGCUGGUUCAACAGCAAUGCGUGUCUUUUUUAUGCUGCCGAUUUUAUGAUAUCAGUACAUUUGACAUGUAUUUAUUGUUGACGCUGUUAAAAUGUUAUUACAACCAAACUUAUUCGAAUGAUUCACCUUCCUGGUAUUAUGGUGACAACGUCCGUGGUGCGCUUGCAAUGCAACUUCUGGAGAUGUGUGAAUGCGAUUUGAUCUGUUAGAUGUUUCCAAUUAUGUUCAUAAAGCAUAUGCCUAUUUGGGAGCAGUAUAACAGUGAAUGGACAUUCUCCUUUACCAUUUAUAUUGGAUCUUUGUCCAGCUACUGGGAGAAGUUUGGAUGUGCAUAAAAGCCAUCCAUAGUCUGUGUUGUUUAAAUAUUAUAUAGCCACGGAGAGAAAUGAUGGUGCCUGUAAGUAUGACAGCCUAUUUAAAAAUAUUUGUUCUCUUGUUAGGCCUUAUCAAUAAUUAAUUGAAUCUUGCGUUUUGACAAUGUUUGGCAUGUUCAUGCUCAGCCAUAAUGCAAUUUACAGUAUGCCUUACCCCUAUAUCCGUGUGAAUGCUAUUGAAGCCAUGCAAUUACUUACGGUAGAACAAUGUGGACUGCAAAUGGGUUCAAGUUAAGGUAUUUAGUAAAGAUAGGUCUACAUUUUGUGAUUUUCUUUCUGUUUAACAAACUAUAACAGACCAACAUUGGAAUUACAGUUGAUUCCAAGUCAAUGCAUAAAAGACCUUAAAUACACAACUUGAAGCAACCACAUAUUUUGCCAUGGAGCAAGCUUCGGCACACCCACAACUUGUUUAUUCAUCAAAACACAGCCCUUUCGCACCAACGCCAGCAAGUGGGCUGGUAAUUGUGAUCGUGAAAAUAGCAUAACUCUACUGCCUGCGCUUAGAUUUACCAUUGCGUUAGAUUUGUGAAAAUAGAGCCCAUAGUCUUUCCAUAUUCCACAGGUCUUAUCAAAUUGCAAUUUAAUAUUCACCCACAGCACAAUAUUGCUGUAUUUUCAUUUUCCGCUGUUCAAAUAAGAACUGUAAAGAGAGAUAAUAAUGAAUAUUAUAUGGAUAUAGUUUAGAAUUGCAAUUUACCACAGUCUAACGUGUACUCAGCAACCAUUUGUCAUUUCUGAAUCAGUCUCACUGUAGGAGUAACCUUUUACAGUGGUUUGAUAUGCAAUAUUUUAUUGUAGUACUGAUUUAAAUGCGUCUUGUGUGCCUGGCACCUAAUUUGUAUUAAUCUCACGGUAGCACAUUUAUCAAUGGUUUCCAUUUCUUUGCAGACUAUGCUUUCUCUGUUUUUUUAUUACUCUUAUCAUUUGUAUUAAAAUAAAUGGACAAAAUAAAGAUGGUCACACACUCUAAA